CAAACACUGAGCAAACAAAGAAGGAUCCGAUCCUUUAUAAGCAAUACAGCUCUUAAUGGAUGAUAGUGCAGGUUUUAGCCCUUUGCUACAAACCCUAACUGGGCCACCAUAGUACAGCUCUUACAUUAAAUUCAUAGCCUCAGUGUUCUCAGUACUCACACUUCCAAAUCGCUCAUUUCGUUGUUCUCUUCUAUUUUCACGCGGUUACUACUCUUUCACUUCUUUUCUUUUUUUCUUUUUUUUGGUUUUUGGGGGUUUUUUUUGGGUGUAAAACAAGUGUAACCUCUCCUACCUAGGGCUAGACCUAGUGCGUCCUUUCUUUACAUUUCUUUUCUCUCUCUCUCUCUCUUUUUCUCUGAUUUUUUGCGUCUUUUUAAACUUAUUCCUCAGUACUUAUUUAUGAUCUAUCAUUGGCUGCACUAACACUGCUUUUAGAGAGAAAGAUGGGACAUCACUCGUGCUGUAACAAGCAGAAGGUGAAGAGAGGACUAUGGUCACCAGAGGAAGAUGAGAAACUCAUCAACUACAUUUCAAACUAUGGCCAUGGUUGCUGGAGCUCUGUCCCAAAACUUGCUGGCCUGCAGAGAUGUGGAAAGAGCUGCAGACUAAGAUGGAUAAAUUAUCUCAGACCUGACCUAAAACGUGGGAGCUUCUCUCCCCAAGAAGCAGCCCUCAUCAUUGAACUUCAUGGCAUUCUAGGAAACAAGUGGGCUCAAAUAGCCAAGCACCUACCAGGGAGAACCGAUAAUGAGGUUAAGAACUUUUGGAAUUCAAGUAUAAAGAAGAAGCUGAUUUCUCAUGAUGUUCCUACCAUUGCCACCUAUCCUGAUAUGCACUACAAUGGUAACAGCGAGGAAGGUUUUUUCUCUCUAAAUGCAAACCCUAAUUGGAUCCUAAGCUCUCAACAAGACCAGCUAUACCUUCCCACUCCAACCCCAAUGUUGCAAGGCUUUGAUCAUGGUGAUCUUAAAUUAGAGCAAACCAAUUAUGGUGCCAAUUUGGUUCAAUUUCCACCCCCAAUGGCACCAUCAUCAAAUUCUUCUUCUUAUGACCCACUAUGGUCAUUAGGCUAUCAACCUCAUGGAAAAUUUGAUCCUAAUCAAGAACAUCAAAAUUUCAGCACUAGUGGAGCAACACAACAUUAUAUUGGUGAUAAACUUAUUGGUCCAAGUAUCUCGGCACCACAUUAUGAUGAGGAUCCAUUAACAUCCAUGAUUCCAAAACCUUGUGAUGAGAUUAUCAGUGGUAAUUGUUGUGGCAUGUUUUGCUCAUGUGCUUCACAAGACCAUGACCCACUUGCUAGACUCCCAUAUUUUCCAGCUGGUUGUAAUUAUCCACAUGAUACACAAGUGCCCAACAAUCAUAUGGAGUACAUGGAUGCCAUCAUGUCAUCAUCAUCAUCAUAUUCAUCAGCUUCAUCAUUGUCACCAUUAUCAAGCGGCCAAUUUGUCACAAACUCUAAUCUUCGUUCAAGCUGGGAGACAUAGACAUGCUACUCUGUUGGAGUUUGGUUCUGUCUGUUAAUUGUUGGAUCUAUAAUCUGAUACGAUGCAUUUAUUUCUAGUUAUGUGCACAAGACAUAAGUGAAACUUCUUUGAAAAACAUAAUGUUUCUAUAGCUAAAGUGAGUAACGUUGGCUGAAGUUCAAAAAAUAUGUGUAGGUUAUUCAAGUUUGUCAACUUAAUUAAUAUAUUGUAUGAGUUCCGACUUCCUACUGCCUAGGAAAUUACUACUCGAUAUUUGUAGUUGUUCCCUUUGUUCAUCCCAAAAUAAA